UUGCUUCGGCAGCACAUAUACUAAAAUUGGAACGAUACAUAGAAGAUUAGCAUGGCCCCUGCACAAGUUCAAAUUUUUAACCUCAUAUAUAAAUGCCAUUUGU